CUUGAUUUCAGUUUCAGUCUUCAGAAACAGGCUGCCUAUUUUUGGUUGCAUUCCAGACCCUAUAGCUACAUUCAGUGAUUUACUUCCCCAUUUACGUCAUUCUCCUAACCUCCUCUCCCCCGAGGUUCUCCCAUGACCGAGGACAAUUUUAAGCUACUACGUUGUCCUGCUACAGUGAUCUGAGACCGAUAAUAGCGUUUCCAAUAUAAUGAGACAUCUCGAAUAUAAUUUUGCUGUUCAUCAAUGUAUCUUUUACAGCAGAUGGGCCAUUGUGCAAUAUAAUUAACCAAGACAUAUUGAGAAACACAAGUAUUACUCUCUUACCUGGAGAGCUAGAUGGAACUGCAGGAGAUCGUUUGCAUGUAACGGAAUCUAAUGGACUCCAGCUGUCAUCUCUCGUGAACUCGGAUUCUCACGACAAUUCCUGAAGCUUAUUGCUUUAAAAGGAGAAAAUCCAAAACUUUCCCUGAAACUUCUCAGUUUUUAUGGACACCGUCCCAUGGGGAAGAAAAGAAAUCAUCUGGUUUGGUGGCUUACGAGAAACACUGUAUGAGUAAUAUUUUUAGUCCCGCCUUCAGAGAAGGUCACAUCUCUCGGUCUGAAGGUAGCAGUAUGUAACCAGUAGACACACACUGGCCACUUUUGCUAGGAGAAGAUAGUGUUGCAGCCAGGAAUUGCCACCAUUUCUCCGCCAGUCUCGUCACUACCUUACCUGGAGGUGUUCUGAGGGCUCACGAUGAAGACAAUCUUUGACUUAGACAUCUUAAAAUAUGCGGCUAGAAGGUUUAUCAUAUCCAGGAAACGUCAUGAGAGUAGUUAUUACAGGAACUACUGGCCCUCUGGGAAAUCACAGGAUUUCUUGGAUUCAAGUUUUGAGCAUGAGCCAGAAGCAGAUGC
rnacentral:lncRNA from 1 species